UAGGGAAUCUUCCACAAUGGACGCAAGUCUGAUGGAGCAACGCCGCGUGAGUGAAGAAGGUUUUCGGACCGUAAAGCUCUGUUGUUGGUGAAGAAGGAUAGAGGUAGUAACUGGCCUUUAUUUGACGGUAAUCAACCAGAAAGUCACGGCUAACUACGUGCCAGCAGCCGCGGUAAAUCGUAGGUGGCAAGCGUUGUCCGGAUUUAUUGGGCGUAAGGCGAGCGCAGGCGGAAGAAUAAGUCUGAUGUGAAAGCCCUCGGCUUAACCGAGGAAUUGCAUCGGAAACUGUUUUCUUGAGUGCAGAAGAGGAGAGUAGAACUCCAUGUGUAGCGGUGGAAUGCGUAGAUAUAUGGAAGAAUACCAGUGGCGAAGGCGGCUCUCUGGUCUGCAACUGACGCUGAGGCUCGAAAGCAUGGGUAGCGAACAGGAUUAGAUACCCUGGUAGUCCAUGCCGUAAACGAUGAGUGCUAAGUGUUGGGAGGCUUCCGCCUCUCAGUGCUGCAGCUAACGCAUUAAGCACUCCGCCUGGGGGAGUACGACCGCAAGGUUGAAACUCAAAGU
rnacentral:rRNA from 1 species